rnacentral:rRNA from 1 species
UACGUAGGGUGCAAGCGUUGUCCGGAAUUAUUGGGCCUAAAGCAUCCGUAGCCGGUUCUACAAGUCUUCCGUUAAAUCCACCUGCUUAACAGAUGGGCUGCGGAGGAUACUAUGGAGCUAGGAGGCGGGAGAGGCAAGCGGUACUUAGUGGGUAGGGGUAAAAUCCGUUGAUCCAUUGAAGACCACCAGUGGCGAAGGCGGCUUGCCAGAACGCACUCGACGGUGAGGGAUGAAAGCUGGGGGAGCAAACCGG